CUUUUUCUAGGUAUCAGGAGAUUACCUUCCUCUUUGUGUGAAGGUUUAUAUAUAGUGCCAUGAGUACUGUUCCUCUCAUUAAUGGUGAGGAGAUAUUUUAUGUUUGUCAUGAUGACAUUUGGAGGCAGCAUGGUCAUCGCCAUCCUACUGGCGGCUAUCAGAAACCGUGGUAGGUGAUGCUGCUGUCAGAGAUCGUGGGAAGUGAUCAUGUAGAAUGAUCGUGAGAAGUGACUUGUUGUCACCUCAACCCGUCCUUUCACUCUGCAGGUGAUGGGACGUGGGGUAUGACAGGCUGUUGUGGUAACGUGUGAGACUUGCUUUACUUCAGUCAAUGAUCCGGACCCUUGUAUCCGGAUGGGAUAUGCCGAUCAUCCGGAUGUAUUGUGUAAGCCGUCCGGAUGAUAUGUUUAUAAGUGUCGCUUGAUCUUCCUUGAGGUAGUCCGGAAAAGCGUGCCAUGUGUGCUUUAUGAGACGGUCCGGAUGAAGAUGACCCGGAUGACA
rnacentral:lncRNA from 1 species